UACGGAGGGUGCAAGCGUUGUUCGGAAUCACUGGGCGUAAAGGGCGCGCAGGCGGCCUGAUUAGUCAGAUGUGAAAGCCCACGGCUUAACUGUGGAAGUGCAUUUGAAACUGUCAGGCUUGAGUACCAGAGGGGAAAGUGGAAUUCCCGGUGUAGAGGUGAAAUUCGUAGAUAUCGGGAGGAAUACCGGUGGCGAAGGCGACUUUCUGGCUGGAUACUGACGCUGAGGCGCGAAAGCGUGGGGAGCAAACAGG
rnacentral:rRNA from 1 species